CAGAGAUGGGCGGCAGGAUGACUGGAUGAGAGUGAGGACAGGGAAGAAGACUCUGUGACUCUCGUCCUCUCUCAAGGAGUAUGGACACCUGCCUCACAGGAAGAAGUGGGACCAGAGUAAGUCUUGUCAGUGUUGUCUGUCACAGAAGUCAUCCGGUUACUUACAGCCUCCACACACUCCAUGGACCUUUGAAGUGUCUUUCCUUUGUAAUCGAUUCUUCUAGAAGACCUGCUCAAAGCUGUAUGUCCUACAGAAAAGGGAUAAUGCCACUCUCCCCAAUAGAGCUUAUGAGUACAGAAUCUUAUGGAAGUGUGGACUGUUAUUACAUCAACCAACCCUGAGAGGUCUAUGAGCAGUUUCUUCAGGAUGCGACUAUUUGAAUGAAGCAAACAGUCUCAGCAAACGAUAUUAAGUUCUCAAUAAAAUGACUGAAAGGUGAA
rnacentral:lncRNA from 1 species